GGGCUGCAGUCAAGAAUCUUCCCCAAUGCCCGCAAGGGUGAGGGAGCGACGCCGCGUGAUUGAAGACGCCCUUCGGGGUGUAAAAAUCUUUUGCAAGGGACGAAUUUGUGACGGUACCUUGCGAAUAAGGGGUUGCUAACUCCGUGCCAGCAGCAGCGGUAAUACGGAGACCCCUAAGGUUAUCCGGAUUUAUUGGGCGUAAAGCGUCCGUAGGCGGCCUAAAAAGUCACUGGUUAAAUCCCGAUGCUCAACAUCGGGACCGCCAGCGAAACUCUUAGGCUAGAGGCCGGAAGAGGUAAGCGGAAUUGCCGGUGUAGCGGUAAAAUGCGUUAAUAUCGGCAAGAACACCAAAUGCAAAGGCAGCUUACUAGAACGGUCCUGACGCUGAGUGGACGAAAGCGUGGGUAGCGAAAGGGAUUAGAUACCCUUGUAGUC
rnacentral:rRNA from 1 species